rnacentral:misc_RNA from 1 species
AAGAAAAGAAAGCUAAAGUGGGUGACCUUGAUGAACUCGAAACUAAAGAGUUAAUUUCUCUUAAACACACCAUGUCAACCAUUUCUUGCAACUUGGAAAGUGUCUGGCUACAAAAAUCGAGAGUCACUCAGUGCAAAUUGGGGAAUUGCAAUACAAGGUUUUUUUUUCAUGUUCAAGCCUCAAAUCGCAAAAGACGAAACUUUAUCUGAAAGUUUCAACAUUCUAGCACGGCAUUAUCUGAUCCAUUAGACAUAAAAAG